GAUGAACGCUGGCGGCGUGCCUAAUACAUGCAAGUCGAGCGAACAGACGAGGAGCUUGCUCCUCUGACGUUAGCGGCGGACGGGUGAGUAACACGUGGAUAACCUACCUAUAAGACUUGGAUAACUUCGUGAAACCGGAGCUAAUACCGGAUAAUAUAUUGAACCGCAUGGUUCAAUAGUGAAAGACGGUUUUGCUGUCACUUAUAGAUGGAUCCGCGCCGCAUUAGCUAGUUGGUAAGGUAACGGCUUACCAAGGCGACGAUGCGUAGCCGACCUGAGAGGGUGAUCGGCCACACUGGAACUGAGACACGGUCCAGACUCCUACGGGAGGCAGCAGUAGGGAAUCUUCCGCAAUGGGCGAAAGCCUGACGGAGCAACGCCGCGUGAGUGAUGAAGGUCUUCGGAUCGUAAAACUCUGUUAUUAGGGAAGAACAAAUGUGUAAGUAACUAUGCACGUCUUGACGGUACCUAAUCAGAAAGCCACGGCUAACUACGUG
rnacentral:rRNA from 1 species